ensembl:rRNA 5S_rRNA 5S ribosomal RNA
GUCUAAGGCCAUAGCACCCUGAAUGCUCCCUAUCUCAUCUGAUCUCCGAAGCUAAGCAGGGUCGGGCCUGGUUAGUACUUGGGUGGGAGACCGCCUGGGCAUACCGGGUGCUGUAGGCU